GUGCUUGCUUGGGCAGCAUAUAUCCUAAAAUUGGAACGAUACAGAGAUGAUUAACAUGGCCCCUGUGCAAGGAUGACACUCAAAUUCGUGAAGCAUUCCAUUAUCUA